AACGCAUCUUGCGCUCCUUGGUAUUCCGAGGAGCAUGCCUGUUUGAGUGUCGUGAACCUCUCAACCCGUCCCCUUCUCUUUGCGAGUCGGGCUCUCGGGUUGGAUUUGGACGUCUGCCGCGGGGUUUGACUACCCUUCGGCUCGUCUUGAAAUGCAUCAGCUGGUCCGCCGCGAGUUCGGUCAUUAACGACGGUGUGAUAAGAAACGCUUAGUGCGCCGUCGGCCGAUUCGUUGGAGGGCUGCUUCCAACCGUCUUAGGACAAACCAUCACUUCAUCUGACCUCAAAUCAGGUAGGACUACCCGCUGAACUUAA
rnacentral:misc_RNA from 1 species